rnacentral:tRNA from 1 species
CUUCUUGUAGCUCAGUUGGAUCAGAGCGCCUGCUUCGCAAGCGGAGGGCCGGGGGUUCGAAUCUCCCCAAGGUUUC